GAUGAACGCUGGCGGCGUGCCUAAUACAUGCAAGUCGAGCGAACGGACGAGAAGCUUGCUUCUCUGAUGUUAGCGGCGGACGGGUGAGUAACACGUGGAUAACCUGCCUAUAAGACUGGGAUAACUUCGGGAAACCGGAGCUAAUACCGGAUAAUAUUUUGAACCGCAUGGUUCAAAAGUGAAAGACGGUCUUGCUGUCACUUAUAGAUGGAUCCGCGCUGCAUUAGCUAGUUGGUAAGGUAACGGCUUACCAAGGCAACGAUGCAUAGCCGACCUGAGAGGGUGAUCGGCCACACUGGAACUGAGACACGGUCCAGACUCCUACGGGAGGCAGCAGUAGGGAAUCUUCCGCAAUGGGCGAAAGCCUGACGGAGCAACGCCGCGUGAGUGAUGAAGGUCUUCGGAUCGUAAAACUCUGUUAUUAGGGAAGAACAUAUGUGUAAGUAACUGUGCACAUCUUGACGGUACCUAAUCAGAAAGCCACGGCUAACUACGUGCCAGCAGCCCGCGGUAUACGUAAGUGGCAAGCGUUAUCCGGAAAUAUUGGGCGUAAAGCGCGCGUAGGCGGUUUUUUAGUCUGAUGUGAAAGCCCACGGCUCAACCGUGGAGGGUCAUUGGAAACUGGAAAACUUGAGUGCAGAAGAGGAAAGUGGAAUUCCAUGUGUAGCGGUGAAAUGCGCAGAGAUAUGGAGGAACACCAGUGGCGAAGGCGACUUUCUGGUCUGUAACUGACGCUGAUGUGCGAAAGCGUGGGGAUCAAACAGGAUUAGAUACCCUGGUAGUCCACGCCGUAAACGAUGAGUGCUAAGUGUUAGGGGGUUUCCGCCCCUUAGUGCUGCAGCUAACGCAUUAAGCACUCCGCCUGGGGAGUACGACCGCAAGUUGAAACUCAAAGGAAUUGACGGGGACCCGCACAAGCGGUGGAGCAUGUGGUUUAAUUCGAAGCAACGCGAAGAACCUUACCAAAUCUUGACAUCCUUUGACAACUCUAGAGAUAGAGCUUUCCCCUUCGGGGGACAAAGUGACAGGUGGUGCAUGGUUGUCGUCAGCUCGUGUCGUGAGAUGUUGGGUUAAGUCCCGCAACGAGCGCAACCCUUAAGCUUAGUUGCCAUCAUUAAGUUGGGCACUCUAAGUUGACUGCCGGUGACAAACCGGAGGAAGGUGGGGAUGACGUCAAAUCAUCAUGCCCCUUAUGAUUUGGGCUACACACGUGCUACAAUGGACAAUACAAAGGGCAGCGAAACCGCGAGGUCAAGCAAAUCCCAUAAAGUUGUUCUCAGUUCGGAUUGUAGUCUGCAACUCGACUACAUGAAGCUGGAAUCGCUAGUAAUCGUAGAUCAGCAUGCUACGGUGAAUACGUUCCCGGGUCU
rnacentral:rRNA from 1 species